GGAUUCCCCAAGUAAUGGCGAAUGAAAGGGGAAGAGCCCAGCGCUGAAUCUCUCGGUCUUAGGCCGCUGAGAACUGUAGCGUAUAGGUGUGACUGUCCUGCUAUAUUGCAUUUCCGAAGUCUCUUUGAUAGGGGCCAACAUCCAGAGAGGGUGCGAGACCUGUACGGAAAGUAGUAUAGUUGGUAUGGUUACUCCUUGGAGUCGGGUUGCUUGAAAGUGCAGCCUAAAGUUGGUGAUAAACUUCAUCUAAGGCUAAAUAUCGACGCGAAAUCGAUAGCAAACAAGUACCGUGAGGGAAAGUUGCAAAGAACUUUGAAGAGAGAGUUCAAGAGAACGUGAAAUCGCUAAAGUGGAACCGGAGAGAGUUAACAUAACUUGGUAGCUAUAUUCUCUAAAGUCGCUUAAUUGUGGCUCUGGGGGGUGGACGCUACCUGUUGUUGCACUGACUGCGUUGAUUGUGCUUUCCGAACAGUAUAGUGUUGCCCACUUUGUGGUGUCUUGCUUUCUGGGAGGUUUGUCAUAAUUAACGUAAAGCCAAUUCCCUUUGGAGUCAGUGUGAAAGUUAACCACCUUUCCGACCCGUCUUGAAACACGGACCGAGGAGUGUAAUUUAUACGCGAGUCAAGGGGUGGUGAAAACCCUAGGGGCGGAAUGAAAGUAAAGGCCGGUUAACCGGUUGACAUGGGAUCCGCUCUUCAGCGGCGCACCAUGGCCCUGUCUUGUCUGCUUGCAGAUGGGCAGCGGUAGAGCGUAUAGUUUGCGACCCGAAAGAUGGUGAACUAUGCUUGAGCAGGACGAAGCCAGAGGAAACUCUGGUGGAAGUCCGUAUCGGUUCUGACGUGCAAAUCGAUCGAUAGACUUGGGUAUAAGGGCGAAAGACUAAUC
rnacentral:rRNA from 1 species